GUACAUGUUACAGGUGUGUUGGUGUAAAAAUUGAUGCUGACUGAACUCGGGCAGUUGUGCUGGACCAUCUGUACUUAGUACAGGGGAUGACAGUAAACUUUCAAGCUAAAGAGCCACCUGAUGAUGAGAGAGACAAUUUCAAUGUGGGCAUCUUGAUGGUGAGCCAGGCCUUCAUGCUAAUUUUGUGACCGUUUAAUCUAUUUAGCGUCAUUGUAAUAACAUUAUUUCAGGAUGCAAAACUGGCUAAAAAUCAAAUUUAAAUUUCAACAUUAAUUGUAUGAUAGUGUGGUUGAUUUA